UGGGAUCUUAGUUCACCAGCUAGGGAUGAAUCCGUGCCCACUGCCGUGGAAGUGUGGCGUCUUACCACUGGACUACCAGGAAAGUCCCAGAUUCUGCAUUUCUAGAGAGUGCCUAGGAGAUGCCCAUAGUGCUGGCCUGGGUUUUAGAUAAGCUCUAAACCCAUCCAACAGUUACUGUUUUAUAUUUCAAAAGACAUUCUUUGAAAAUAAUAAAUUAAUCCAAACAACUGGAAACUAGGAUGAGUUUCAAUGCUAAAGGCUCAUGUCUCUUUGGGCCAAGAAGAAACUCUUUUGAGUUCAGAUCAAGAGCCAGCUGGUAGACAAAAGCAGUGCCAGGCAAGAUGCCACCUGAUUGGGAAGUAAGGCUUAUUUGGAAUUACCUAGUCCAUGGGUUAUGGCAAACUCAGGUCUCGUCAAGUCGUUUUCAAAAUGAAUGGUUACAGUCUGGUUGAUGGGGUCCAGCAAUAAUCAUAAUGGAGCAAAAGGCAGUGAUUUUGUUCCAAAGGUGUCAAUCUGGAUGGAAAAUGGAUCCAUCUAUUUAUCGAUAGGAAGAGACAAUGUACAGGCUUAAGAAGGUGGCCGAACCUCAGUCAGAUGGGCUGUGGCUGUGAGCACAAUGACUCCCACAAAGAACUGUACCAGAGCAGAAAUCCAGUCAUCAGGAAGAGUGGACGUGCAUGUUGAGGGUUAGGGAAAAAGCACAGUUGGAUCCACGGGGUCAUCCAAGAGACACAAGAUGCUAGGAUUAGGACAGCAAAGCUAAUUUCAUGCCCCUGAAUUUCAAAUGUUAAAUGUACUUUGAGACCUGUUUCCAAUUAACUCAAGAAUUAGAUGAGAUUAAAUUAAUUGAUACUUUUGAACUGUGAUGUUGGAGAAGACUCUUGAGAGUCCCUUGGACUUCAAGGAGAUCAAACCAGUCAAUCCUAAAGAAAAUCAGUGCUGAAUAUUCAUUGGAAGGACUGUUGCUGAAGUUGAGGCUCCAAUACUUUGGCCACUUGAUGAGAAGAACUGACAUGUGAAAAGACCCUGCUGCUGGGAAAGAUUGAAGGCAGGAGGAGAAGGGGACGACAGAGGAUGAGAUGGUUGGAUGGCAUCACCAACUCGAUGGACAUGAGUUAGAGUGAAUUCUGGGAGUUGGUGAUGGAUGGGGAGGCUUGGCGUGCUGCAGUCCACGGGGUUGCAAAGAGUCAGACACCACUGAGCGACUGAACAGAAAAUUAGAUGAGACGUCUUCAAUGCUUGGAGUAAACCGAUAUAGAAGAGACACUUUGUACCCUGAAGGAGACUGCUGUCGCAUCUGAUAAAUCAUAUAAGCUCCAGUGAAUGUAUGUCAUCACCCUCAGGAAUGACAGGUCUAUCUUUGUCACCCUUGUGGGAUUUGAGCACUGACACUGUCAGAGAACUUGACUAAUAACCUUCACCCGGACCUUUCAAACUCUGCACUUCUUGAUAAAGAUUGUGAUAAAGGACAGUAUUUUCACAGGUUGACAGGGUCAGGAGAAGAGGGUCACUGAGGACUUUGACACUUUUAAGUUCAGUUUACAGAAGGCUGUGAGAAACCUUCAGUUUUGCUGCACUUACAAUUGUCGGGAUGAAUCACAAGAAAAUGAAUAUGUGACCCUCAGAGAUACCGCACUGGCUUUAUUCUCUCAAAGAUAUGUGCAUAUGAGGGCAAUUAUACACAUCACUGUUCGACAAGGACACAUUGCUGACUUUCUCUAAGCUUAAAUCGAACGCCUUUCACUUGAUAUUGUGCGCUUCAGGGCAUGUGUUGUUUUAUCAGUGAGAGAUUCAUUACGACAGUGAACGGGAAGAAGCAAUUCAUUCCCCUUAUGAUCAAAAUGCAAAAACAAAGGUAAACUUUGCUAAAGAUGGAGCCAUACCCAGGGGAGAGGGCAAUUCUGAAAUACCCAUUGUAUUUUUUAAUCCACGUUUGAAAAUAUGAGACAAUCUAGACUCUAUCCAGGGGAAUGUGCUCAAUUCCUUCCUUCUCAAUGUCAUUUUGGUUAAAAACAUCAUACAUUUACAUCAUGACCAAAAACCUUGGAACAUCAUAAAACGGUAACUAAGCAUGAUUAUUUUGUGCAUUCAAUAAUGCAGAUUUCAAGAGACUACGCAAACAGGAAUCCUUGAAAUUGCUUUAUUGUUGACAAAAACAGCAUAUAAUUAAAGAUUUGAUGAGGAACCUGCAAACAAUAAAGAAUGUGACCAUUGCCAGCAAAAUACAAUUAUUCCAAGUCCUUUAGACAUUACAAAUAUAGUUCUUUCACACCAGAUGGUUCACAUGUAACAAAGCCAUUUUAGAAUGCUUAAUUGUGCUUUGACAAAACCUUCGAAGAAUGAGGUAGUUUCCUUUACCCACCAUAUUUUCCGCAUUACCAUUGUUACACUUUUAGUGAGCUUCAAUCCUUUUAACAUGACCUUUAAAUAAUUAUUCAUAAAAGCCAAGCUUUAUUUAUAGUAUUUCUUUCUACUUGAUUAUUCUUAAAGAGAAUUUCAAGAAUCACUUCAUAACUGGAAAUUUUUGAGACAAGCAAUGGUGCGGGCUUUUUCUUUACAAUCAGACUUUGAGGCAAGAGAACAAGUUCUAAAAAUUCCAUAGUUAAGCUGGUAUUCUCCCAUUUCUAUCCAUAAAUGCUGAUUUAAAAACUAUGUCCACAAAAAAGCAAAACAAAACACUACUUCCUCACACUCUGAUUUUCUCUCAGCCAUCAUGCAAGCACAAAUUCUUU
ensembl:lncRNA